AUUGAACGCUGGCGGCAGGCCUAACACAUGCAAGUCGAACGGUAACAGGAAACAGCUUGCUGUUUCGCUGACGAGUGGCGGACGGGUGAGUAAUGUCUGGGAAACUGCCUGAUGGAGGGGGAUAACUACUGGAAACGGUAGCUAAUACCGCAUAACGUCGCAAGACCAAAGAGGGGGACCUUCGGGCCUCUUGCCAUCGGAUGUGCCCAGAUGGGAUUAGCUAGUAGGUGGGGUAACGGCUCACCUAGGCGACGAUCCCUAGCUGGUCUGAGAGGAUGACCAGCCAAACUGGAACUGAGACACGGUCCAGACUCCUACGGGAGGCAGCAGUGGGGAAUAUUGCACAAUGGGCGCAAGCCUGAUGCAGCCAUGCCGCGUGUAUGAAGAAGGCCUUCGGGUUGUAAAGUACUUUCAGCGGGGAGGAAGGGAGUAAAGUUAAUACCUUUACUCAUUGACGUUACCCGCAGAAGAAGCACCGGCUAACUCCGUG
rnacentral:rRNA from 1 species